GCCCCCGUCGCUCAGGGGCGAAAGGGGAAAACUGCUUCCUAUUUCUCCGAUUUAUGAAAAAAUGGCCGAAAGCUUCAUCAGGCAGGGUUAGAGUCUAACCCUAACCUCAGCCCUCCAUCCACUCCCCUUGACGAUCAGACUGCAGUUGGACCAAAGUGCCACCUUAUUGGAGCAUCACUAUUCACUGCGACCACGGGCGAUUGUUCAAACCACGGAAAGGUCUGGGAGAGAGAAAGCGGAAAUGAAAACGGUUUUCUUGCAGCCAGCCCCACAGAGCCCCAUGAGGUGGUUUGGCAAUAAAUCCUAGCUCUUCUGCUCCUU